UGCUUCAGGACCGUUUGGGUAGAAGCAAUGUGAGCAGUGUUGCCAACUCUCACAGAAAAUAAGCAACCGGGACGCUGAAAACAAGCCCAAAACAAGCGACUGAAGAAAAAAACCCUGUUCCUGUUCUUGAAGGAGAUUCUGAAGGAGUUGGUGAAGAAUGUUCUGCUGGAGAAGCCUGGUGGUGCAACAGUCCUGAAGGAGUACGAGGACACUGGGAAAAUAUGUGACAGUUCCAGACGGCAGAUGGUGAACAUUUUAGCAGCACACAUGACAGAAAAAGAGGGGAUAAUUCCACAACGACUGACUAAGGAGAAAUAUGCACUUGGCAUCGUCACUUUGUUCCCUUCCCUGCAAGAUCCAAUGUCAAAGAAAGGCUAUGAGCAUUUCUAUGAUACCCAAAGUGGAUCAGGCUUCCUGGCUUGGAGACUCAAGACUAUUCAACGGAAGACCAAAUUUCAUCCCGAGUCAUCUAGUUCCCCUAAGGCUGCUGUUGUGAUGGGAGGUGGUCCAACACUCGUCAGGGACAACAGUCAAGAAGAUCAGCUUCAGGAUGAGCAAAUAACAGAAAAACAGAAAAAAUAACAGA
ensembl:lncRNA